rnacentral:rRNA from 1 species
AUUGAACGCUGGCGGCAGGCUUAACACAUGCAAGUCGAGCGGAGCGAGGGUGCUUGCACCUUAGCUUAGCGGCGGACGGGUGAGUAAUGCUUAGGAAUCUGCCUAUUAGUGGGGGACAACAUUCCGAAAGGAAUGCUAAUACCGCAUACGCCCUACGGGUGAAAGCAGGGGAUCCUCGGACCUUGCGCUAAUAGAUGAGCCUAGGUCGGAUUAGCUAGUUGGUGGGGUAAAGGCCUACCAAGGCGACGAUCUGUAGCGGGUCUGAGAGGAUGAUCCGCCACACUGGGACUGAGACACGGCCCAGACUCCUACGGGAGGCAGCAGUGGGGAAUAUUGGACAAUGGGCGGAAGCCUGAUCCAGCCAUGCCGCGUGUGUGAAGAAGGCCUUUUGGUUGUAAAGCACUUUAAGCGAGGAGGAGGCUACUUAGAUUAAUACUCUGGGAUAGUGGACGUUACUCGCAGAAUAAGCACCGGCUAACUCUGUGCCAGCCGCCGCAGUAA